rnacentral:ncRNA from 1 species
AAUAAAAUUUUUUAUGGUUUAAAAAUUUAUUAUAAGUUUAUUUUACAUAUAAAUUUUAGUGUUAAAUAUUAAUUAUUUAAAUAAUAAUUAUUUAUUUUGUAGUAAUUAAUAUUAAAUUAUUUAAGAAAUUAAGAUUUAGUAAUAUUUAAAUUAAUAACAAAUUUUGUGCCAGCAGUUGCGGUUAAACAAAAAUUAAAUUAAAUUUUAUUAGUAAUUAAUUAAUAAAUAUUUUAUAAUAAAAAUUUUAAAUUAUUAAGUGAAAUUUUAAUUUAAUUUAAAUUUAUAUUUUAAAUUUAUGAUUUAAUAAAUUUUAAUAAAAAACUAGGAUUAGAUACCCUAUUAUUAAAAUUUAAAUUUAUAAUACUAAAAUAGUAGGUAAUUAUUUAUUGAAACUUAAAUAAUUUGGCGGUAUUUUAGUUCAUUUAGAGGAAUCUGUUUAAUAAUUGAUAAUCCACGAAUAAAUUUACUUAAUUUAAUAUUUUGUAUAUCGUUGUUAGAAAAAUAUUUUUAAAGAAAAUUAAUAUUUAAAAAUUAUUAAUUAAUUCAAAUCAGAUCAAGAUGCAGAUUAUAAUUAAGAAUAUAAUGGAUUACAAUAAAUUUAUUUAUAUGAAUAUUAAUUUGUAAUAAUUAAUUGAAGGUGGAUUUAAAUGUAAUUUUAUUUAAUUUAUUAAAAUGAUUAAAAAUUAAAAUAUGUACAUAUUGCCCGUCACUUUCAUAUAGAAUAAUUAAAAGUUUAAUUAUAAUAAAUUGAAAUAAGUCGUAACAAAGUAGAGGUACUGGAAAGUGUUUCUAGAAAGAA